AGCCGAUGACGACGAAGUGAAAGACGAAGAACUUUGUUUGAUCGAUCUUACAAAGUUGGAAGAUGAUUAUCGAGAGGAUUCGCCGGAAGAGACCAACGCGAUCCCUUUAACCCAAUCGCAGUCUGAUUUUCCGUUUACAUCUCCUGCUCGCUGGUCUCCCUUAACGCUGGCGGGUCCGUCAACGGCCAUUCCAGGCAGAGGAGAAGGCUUGAUUGCGCCAAAGACUCCAGACAUCGAAUCCUUGCUCCGAGGGGAAAUCAUCGAAAACGACGGUGAAUGUCCGACAGGCACCCGCUGCAACAAACGCAGGAGGAAGCGUAGAUGCGCCCGCCAGCUCGACAAACAUGAUAGAAACAGAAGAAGGCUGAAACAGUACUAUCGUAUACUGGCUCGCACUCUCAUGAAGAUGGCAGACAUGAUUUGAUACAUACUGGUUUGUUAUAUCUGUUCCAUUCGAAUUAUUUUUUCUUUUUUUUUCUUUAGAGAAAUAUAAUGGGUGUAGUUCCAUCUGAAUUAGAUGUAGUUAUUGUAGAAGAUGAAGACAUUUGUAAUCAUCAUUUAGAUCCAAACAACCAGAUAGAAUGGGAACCAAACGAUGAUCCGUCUUUGCAAGAUGAUAUUAAUGUGUUAAAUUCAAACACAAACACACAAGCCUCUACACAGCAUCACGAGGUGUUGGGAGGGGCGACACCCUCGGGGGAAUGUUUGGAUUUUUCGGAGGUGGUGGGGGUCAUGCAGGACCAACCGUCAACGGCUGACCAAUCAAUUUCAAAUGAGACCCAGAGGGGUGAUGGGGUAAAUGUCUUGAGGAGGGAAACAUUCAACAAUAUACAACUAUCCAGCGUUUUAACUUUUCCUCAAAACAACGAUGUAACAGAUUACGCCACAUUUUACCGCGGAGUCUUGGGGAGCCUUAAAAAGCUGACACAGAUGGUAACUAAGGAAGCUAGACCCGACGAUAUCAUUCAAUUGGAGUUAUCCGGUGAAAGUGCAAAUCAACAUACUUCAUUUACAUUUCGAAACGAUGCCGGGGCUGUGAUGAAUGCUUUUCAAGACGUGUUAGAUCUGUUGGUACAAUCAAACGUUGAAAUAUUGAACGAUGAAGAAAUACAGGUGAUGGUCCAGGUGAUACAUAACCCUCGAGGUGGUGUAAGAAGAAAAAUCGAAACCCUUUUGGAACAUGAAAUCCGCAGAAAA